AAUAGCAAUGGUUGGAGAAAAUCAUGAAUUGUUGUAGGAAAUCCGCAAGCAUCUUCUCUACCAUGGUAUCUUUGAGUGAAAUCAGGGCAUGUGUCAAAAGAAGAAGCACAACCUUUCAUCGUCACUUCUCAACACUUUUUGUUCAUCAAGCCUGGUCAUUUGGUUGUAUUGCUCUUGUCAAUUUCUACGGACAUAUAGGUUCUUAGAGUGUUCUUCUCAUCAAGAAUACUUGCAUCGAUGUUGGCUAUCAAUUUCAGCAAGACCUCUAACUCCUAGGCUUUAGAAUUUCAGAUGAAAUGUGCGUGAAGAUAUGCAGUUUAGAGGACCUUGUGAAGUUCCAUAUCAUAUAAACCGGGAUAAGGUGUUCCAACCAAGCAAUUUAUCUUUAAAAAAUUUGUCAUGCUCUCCAU
rnacentral:misc_RNA from 1 species